AUGCAUUAGACCAUCAUGGGCAUCAAGAUGGAAUCACAAACUCAGGUCAUCAUGUUUGUACUGCUUUGGUUGUCUGGUGCCGAUGGGAACAUUGUGAUGACCCAGUCUCCCAAAUCCAUGUCCAUAUCAGUAGGAGACAGGGUCACCAUGAACUGCAAGGCCAGUCAGAAUGUGGGUAAUAAUAUAGCCUGGUAUCAACAGAAACCAGGGCAGUCUCCUAAACUCUUGAUCUACUUUGCAACCAACCGGUUCACUGGGGUCCCUGAUCGCUUCACAGGCAGUGGAUAUGGGGCAGAUUUCACUCUCACCAUCACUAGUGUGCAAGCUGAAGAUGCAGCCUUUUAUUACUGUCAGCGUAUUUACAAUUCUCCUCCCACAGUGCUUCAGCCUCCUACAUAA